CGAUAAAGUUCUCAAAAGGGUCAGGUUUGGCCAUGGAAACCCCUUGCAAGCACUUGAGUUCUUUAAAUUCACUGCCAACAGAAAAGGGUUUUAUCACACUUCGUAUUCGUUAGAUACCAUGCUUUAUAUAUUAGGUAGGGGCCGUCAAUUUGAUCUUAUUUGGGAUGUUUUGAUUAAAAUGAAGAGGAAAGACCUGUCUUUGAUUUCCUCACGGACUAUGCAAGUGGUUUUGGGUAGAGUCGCUAAGCUAUGCUCUGUUAGGCAAACUGUGGAAUCUUUUAGAAGGUUCAAGAAGUUGGUUUCUGUGUUUGAUACGGUUUGUUUCAAUGCACUGUUGAGGACUUUGUGUCAAGAGAAGAGUAUGGCUGAUGCUAGAAAUGUGUAUCACACAUUGAAGAAAGAAUUUAGGCCUAAUUUGCAGACUUUUAAUAUACUUCUAUCAGGUUGGAAAUCAUCAGAGGAAGCGGAGUCAUUCUUUGAGGAAAUGAAGGAAUUGGGUAUCAAACCUGAUGUUGUCUCGUAUAAUUCUUUGAUUGAUGUGUAUUGUAAGGGCAGGGAGAUGGAGAAGGCCUACAAGGUGGUUGAGAAGAUGAGAG
rnacentral:misc_RNA from 1 species